GACAGUGUGGUGUAGUGGUUUGAGUGCUGGACUAUGACUUUGGAGACCAGGGUCCGAAUCUCUGCUAAGCCA